rnacentral:rRNA from 1 species
CAGCCGCCGCGGGAAUACAGAGGGUGCGAGCGUUAAUCGGAUUUACUGGGCGUAAAGCGUGCGUAGGCGGCUAAUUGAGUCGGAUGUGAAAUCCCCGAGCUUAACUUGGGAAUUGCAUUCGAUACUGGUUAGCUAGAGUGUGGGAGAGGAUGGUAGAAUUCCAGGUGUAGCGGUGAAAUGCGUAGAGAUCUGGAGGAAUACCGAUGGCGAAGGCAGCCAUCUGGCCUAACACUGACGCUGAGGUACGAAAGCAUGGGGAGCAAGCAGGAUUAGAUACCCCGGUAGUCCCUGUCUCUUAUAC